rnacentral:rRNA from 1 species
UACGAGUGGCCCAAGCGUUAUCCAGAAUUAUUGGGCGUAAAGGAUGUGUAGGUGGUCGUAUUAGUCCGGUGUCUAACCUCUGAGCUCAACUUGGAGACAGCAUUGGAAACGGUACGGCUAGAGUAUGUUAGGGGUAAGCGGAACUCAUAGUGUAGGGGUGAAAUCCGUUGAUAUUAUGGGGAACACCAAAAGCGAAGGCAGCUUACUGGAACAUUACUGACACUGAAACAUGAAAGCGUGGGUAGCGAAUGGG